rnacentral:rRNA from 1 species
AGUCGAACGGCAGCACGGGGGCAACCCUGGUGGCGAGUGGCGAACGGGUGAGUAAUACAUCGGAACGUGCCCUGUAGUGGGGGAUAACUAGUCGAAAGAUUAGCUAAUACCGCAUACGACCUGAGGGUGAAAGCGGGGGACCGCAAGGCCUCGCGCUACAGGAGCGGCCGAUGUCUGAUUAGCUAGUUGGUGGGGUAAAAGCCUACCAAGGCGACGAUCAGUAGCUGGUCUGAGAGGACGAUCAGCCACACUGGGACUGAGACACGGCCCAGACUCCUACGGGAGGCAGCAGUGGGGAAUUUUGGACAAUGGGGGCAACCCUGAUCCAGCAAUGCCGCGUGUGUGAAGAAGGCCUUCGGGUUGUAAAGCACUUUUGUCCGGAAAGAAAUGGCUCUGGUUAAUACCCGGGGUCGAUGACGGUACCGGAAGAAUAAGCACCGGCUAACUACGUGCCAGCAGCCGCGGUAAUACGUAGGGUGCGAGCGUUAAUCGGAAUUACUGGGCGUAAAGCGUGCGCAGGCGGUUUUGUAAGACAGGCGUGAAAUCCCCGAGCUCAACUUGGGAAUGGCGCUUGUGACUGCAAGGCUAGAGUAUGUCAGAGGGGGGUAGAAUUCCACGUGUAGCAGUGAAAUGCGUAGAGAUGUGGAGGAAUACCGAUGGCGAAGGCAGCCCCCUGGGACGUCACUGACGCUCAUGCAC